AACGAACGCUGGCGGCAGGCUUAACACAUGCAAGUCGAGCGCCCCGCAAGGGGAGCGGCAGACGGGUGAGUAACGCGUGGGAAUCUAUCGUGCCCUGCGGAAUAGCUCCGGGAAACUGGAAUUAAUACCGCAUACGCCCUUCGGGGGAAAGAUUUAUCGGGGUAUGAUGAGCCCGCGUUGGAUUAGCUAGUUGGUGGGGUAAAGGCCUACCAAGGCGACGAUCCAUAGCUGGUCUGAGAGGAUGAUCAGCCACAUUGGGACUGAGACACGGCCCAAACUCCUACGGGAGGCAGCAGUGGGGAAUAUUGGACAAUGGGCGCAAGCCUGAUCCAGCCAUGCCGCGUGAGUGAUGAAGGCCCUAGGGUUGUAAAGCUCUUUCACUGGUGAAGAUAAUGACGGUAACCGGAGAAGAAGCCCCGGCUAACUUCGUGCCAGCCGCCGCCGUAACAC
rnacentral:rRNA from 1 species